ensembl:lncRNA novel transcript
AUAGUCUCCAUAAUCUAAUCUCCAGAAUGCACUAAACCAGGAGAAGAUCCACCUGGAUAAUUUCGUUGUCAAAGGAAUGGAAGAAUAUUAAGGAGAACAAGUCCUCAUCUCUCCAAAGACCCUUCAUCCUUCAUUUCACAAUAGUCUUUAUUGGUCUGCUGGAGUUUGCUGGAGGUCCACUCCAGACCCUGUUUGCCUGGGUAUCACCGGCAGAGGCUGCAGAGCAGCAAAGAUUGCUGCCUGCUCCUUCCUCUGGAAGCUUCAUCCCAAAGGGGCACCCGCCUGAUGCCAGCCAGAGCUCUCCUGUACGAGAGAUGCCCUGCCCAGUGAGGAGGAAUCUAGAGAAGCAGUCUGGCCAUAGCUUUGCUGCACUGCGGUCAUGACAUUUUGAGCACAAUUGUGUGUGGGAUGCAUUCAUCAAUAGAGCUGGAAGCACCAACCACCAUAGGAGAGGCCAGCAAGAAUUCCUGUGGAUGAUGGUUUCUCAUGCAUUGCUUGUGGGAAGGUAUAAGAAAAUGGUGCAGCUCCUUCGGAAAACAGACUAGUAGCUCCCCAAAGGUUUAAACAUAAAGUCACCAAAUGACCUAGAUAUUCCACUCCUAGGUAUACGGCCAAGAGAAAUGGAAGUAUAUAUCCACACAAAAAUUUGCAUACAAUUAUUCAUAGCAGCAUCAUUCAUAAAAGCCAAAAGUGUGAACGACCCAAAUGUCCAUCAACUGAUGAAUUGUUAAACAAAAUGUGGUCCUAUCCAUGCAAUGGAAUAUUACUCAGCAAUAGAAAGGAAUGAAGUUCUGAUGCAUGCUGCAACAUGGAUGAACCCUGAAAAUAUUAUACCAAGUGAAAGAAGCCUGACAUAAAAUGCCACAUACAGUAUGAUUCCAUGCGUGUAAAAUGUCUACAAUAGAUCAAUCUAUAGAGACAGAAAGUAGAUUAAUGGUUGCCAGGAAUUGGGGGUGAGAGGGAUUAGAGAAUGACUGCUAAUAGGUAGAUUUCCUUUUGGAAUGAUGAAAUGUUCCCAAAUCAAUUGUGGUGAUGGUCGCACAACUCUUUGAAUAUGUUAAAAUCUACUGAACUCUAUACUUUAAAUGGGUGAAAUGUUACAUGAAUUAUGUCUCCAAAAUAAAGCAUACUUACCUAUGCUU